rnacentral:rRNA from 1 species
ACUCAAAUGAAUUGACGGGGACUCGCACAAGCGGUGGAACGCGUGGCUUAAUUCGUCGAUCCGCGAAAAACCUUACCAGGGCUAGAAACCAAGCUGCAUCCCACCCGAAAGGGAGGGAGCCUUCGAGGGUGCUUGGCAGGUGAUGCAUGGUUGUCGUCAGUUCGUGGCUUGAGCUGUUCCCUUCAGUGGGGUAACGAACGCAACCCUCGUUGUCUGUUAUAUAUGUCAGGCGAGACUGCCCCCUCACGGGGGAGGAAGGUGAGGAUGACGCCAAAUCAGCAUGUCCCUUGAUGCCCUGGGCUGCACACACGUUACAAUGGCCGGUACAGAAGGAUGCAAUACCGUAAGGUGGAGCAAAUCCCCAAAACCGGCCCCAGUACGGAUUGAGGUCUGCAAUCGACCUCAUGAAGCCGGAAUCGCUAGUAAUCCUGGAUCAGCACGCCAGGGUGAAUACGUUCUCGAGUCUUGUACACACCGCCCGU